AGCUCCAUCAAGGCCAAUUGUUGGCCUAACACAAAGGUAUUUUUGCAUGCCUUCAAACAUGCAUAGAACCUCUUGAAAAUUGAUUUGCCAUCAUUCUCCUCAACUUUCAGUUUGAUAGUUGAGCCUGGAUUUCGAGGUAAGACCUCAUGGGUAUAAUCAUAAAUCCUUUUAUAUUGCAUUGUGAAUAACCCAUCCAUUUGGUUUGGAGCAAGGGCUUUCGCCCUGUAAGCCAUACAUUUAGAUAUUCCAGUGUUCCAUUUCCUAUUAAUUUUCUCUCAAAUAUCAACUCCCUUAACAUUAGGAUUUCCUCUCGUUGUUUUUUCAUAUUUUUUACUUAACCAUUUCGCAUUAAGUAAGUGAAUCUUGUGCUUAGUUUCCACAACCUCCAUAUAACCAUAUUAUGGCAUCCAAAGACAUUGUCCGUUAACACCCACACAUUUCAAUCUGAUUCUUUUUUUAUCAUUUCUAACAAAUUUUAUAUUUCUUUCAUUUUCUAAUGCAUGCGUUUUUAUUGCAUCCAAAAUGUCUUGUUUGUCACCAAAAUAUGUUCUAACUUUCCAUUUAAAAUCAAUCAUAGUUUUAUGCAUACUAAAUGUCACGAAUUUCCCAUAACCCUCUUCCCUAUUAUUUUCUUCAUCACUAUGCUGUAGAGUAAUUAAUUCUUCAUAUUCUCAUUCAUCAUUCAACAAACCGCUAUCAUUAUCAAAACUUAUAUCAUCAUCAUCCAAAUCCAAGUCAGACAUAUCACUCCAAGAUGACCUUUGCAUUCAUGUGAAACAAAUUCAACUUCAACGUGCAUAUUACUAGAGCAAUCUCCUUCUCUUAAGUCACACUCAACAUUUAUGUCAAUUAACCCCUCCAUACUAUUGACCUCACCAUUACCAUCAUUAUCCUAUGUACUUCAAUCAUGAACAUUAACUUCCUCCUCUACAAAUUUUAUAAGUUCAUAUUCAUGAACUUGUUCCUCUAUGUCACCCAAGUCUUGUGUUAAACCACCAUCUUCAUGUGUUUCACUACCACUUACACCCUCAUCAUCAUUUAUUUUUCUCGUGUCACCCAAGUCUUGUAUUAAACCACCAUCUACCUCUAUUUCACUACCACCUACACCCUCAUCAUCAUUUAUUUCUCUCGCUGCACCCAAGUCUUGUGUUACACCACCAUCUCCCUAUGUUUCACUAUGACGUAUACCCUCACCAUCAUCUAUUUGUGUUGUGUUACCCUUGACUUCUGUUUCACCACCAUCUUCUUCACAUUUACCAUCAUGUACAUCCUCA
rnacentral:lncRNA from 1 species